AUCGAUUAUCAAAACCGUCUCAAUACAAUGUAGACGUUCAUUUAUUGAAUGUUAUCAUGGGAUCAUCGAGGGGGAAUCUUAACAGCGUCGAUCCUUGGACCUAACAUAAACUUUCAUCACCACAACCACCAUUAAAUCGAUCUACUUUUGCUGCUGUUGUUCUUCAUCAACUUCUGCUACUGCUUCAUCCAAAAUCAAAUUAUCAGAUAUAAUUAGGUUUGUAAUUCACUAAUUAUCAAAGCUUUGUUGUAUUUUGUGAUUAUUACAGUUGUUCAUGAAAUUUGAUUGAUGAUACAUGGAGUAUGUUCUUGAAUCUUGGAGGUUUUUGGUCGAAAUUAGGGUUUUGUUUUGAUACCUGCUACGUCAACAGACAUGAUUAAGCAUGUAUUUUGGAUCUAAAAUUCAGUUUUAGGGUUUGAUCUCUUGGUUAUUUCAAUUUCGUGUUUGGUGUUUGGAUUGAAAUCUCUUACCUCAUCAACUAAAAUUUGAGUCUCUGCUGGUAAUCUCCAAUUUCAUCUUUAGAUUACGUUAGAUUUGAUAUCAUGUGUUCAAUUUCUACAUCACUUGCUCAACUACAUCCAGUUUCAUCUUCAACUGCCUUAUACAUAAUAAUUAGCUUGUAUUUUGCAUCUAAUUUCUUCAUCAAGAUCUGUUGUUCUUGAUUCCUGAUACCGAGAUAGUCUGAGCGCGUUCUAGUCCACUACACCAAGGUCUAGUUAGGGCGAAAACUUAAAGUCGUUCCACUGGUUGGAUUCAACGGAAGAUUGAGAAGUUGUUGGUCUCAUAUCUUACUUCAAGGCAGUCCUCACAUAUGUGUUGAAGAAUCUUGCGUUUUUUAAUGGUGUUUCUGCCAUUGAACAUCGAGUUGGAGUAAUAGAGUAAGGUUUGUGAGUGUGCUGAGUAUGUGCCAUGAGCACGUGUAUUGAUUUUAUCUUUCAUGUUUGUUAGAGAUAAUGACUCUCUUCAUCAUGUAAGACUGAGGAUCAGCUUAGCUUUAAUUUUUCCUUUUCUUUCACUUUGAUCGUUGUUUCAUUACGUUAGUCUGGGGAUCAUCUCAGUGUUUUGGUCGAUCCAAUUUCAGUUCCUUUGCUUUCAAUCUUUUGUUUUCUGCACAAUCUCUCUGUGCUUCUACUGAACUCUUCUUUGAUUUGUUACUUCGAUCAUCCAUUCUCGUUCUUGCUGCUAAAUAAGUAUUUUCUCAAUUUUCUGCUGUUUCUUGGUCUGAUUUUAUGUUCUUAGCACACCUUCUUCGAUCGUGAUUUCUGAUCUCUUUCAUAUGUGUUUUCAUGGAGUUCUUGCCUUCCUCUUUGUGUUUCUUGCAUUUGUUCCAGCGCAAGAACUGCAGUUGAUCUUGUUCAUCUAGUGAGAGUGGAUUGAAUCAUUUUAUUCGGAUCUGGUUGGUGCUACUACAAGCAAGGAAUGUUUCUGUUGUUUAUGGAUGUGUUCAGUGUUUGUCAUUACACUUGUGCACAGUUGAGGAUCUAAUCCUACUACAUACUUCUAUUGGAUGCAGUUAGUGAGUCUUUUUCACUUAGCAAACUCUGUGUUCUACUUUAAUGGCAUGAGGUUUGAUUGACGCUUGAUAUGUUCCAGUAAGUUUGUCAAUUUACUGAGAUUUUAAGGUGCAGAGAGGUUUUUCAAAAUCACCUGUGUUUGUGCAUAAAUAAGGCAAGAUAGUUAAAUUCUUGCUAGUUUUCUCAUUUUCCUACAAGUCUAUGUGUGUGAAUAAACGUAGUACAGUGGUGUGAGUUAUGUGUAUUAAACUUGAGCAGUGAAGGUGCACUUACUAUUGUUGCUGCUUCAACACCUGUUUGUGUAUAAAUAAAUACAAGACGGAUAGUUAUCUUGCUAGUCUUCAUUUCUUGGUAGUUUGUUUCGUAUGCGUCUGAAUAAAGCUCAGUGCAUCUGAUGAUUCAGUUGAGAUGCAUAAAACUAAGAGCUGCUGUAUUGUUAGAGUUUGCGGUUCGUAUUAUUUUCACCAGUCAGAUUCGUUAUUGUCAAAAGUCGGCGAGGGCUUUACAAGGGAGUGUCUUUGGUUACUGCUAGCAUUACCUUCUUAUGUCUGUGUAUGGAGCUGAGUAUAGUGAAUGCAUAUGUUGAGUUUGAAAUGGCAAGAUGCAGAUUUUCUAGUGCAAUUAUCCUUAUUUGUGGUGUGUGAGAGCUGUCUUUUGUUGGUACUUCAAAACUGAGUAUACAUAUUGAAUUUGAUUGAUUAUGGUCCUUGUCUUAUAAGAGAAUGUGAGGGAUUUAAUUUCAGUAAGGAGCAAAGAUCCAAGUAUCACAGGAUUCCAGAGUUGAGAAUAGAAUAUAUGUGUCUGACCUUUCAACUAUUAGAGAUAUGAGAGUGUUGGUGCAAGUUCUUCUCCAACAGAUUCAACCGUUUUAGUCAUCAUUUUCAUGGCCAAAUUUGGUGUUAUUUGGUUCCUCAAGUGUCUGCUCCAACUGUUGCUUCUCUGCAUCUUCUGAUGGGCUACGACUACUACAACACAUACAUCAACCAUUUGCACUUAUUUUUUCAGCAUCUCAUUCUUCUAUCGGCAUCACUUUCAAAUUCUAUGUCAGCACCGGUCACUUGCAACUUCAAUGGUAUUAAAGUCUAGUGCAAAGAGCAGUGGCGGAACCAUGCCCGGACUAGGGCUUGCUCAAGCCAGCCCUAGCCAAAAAAAUUUUACUUACUUAGUAGUAAAAGUCAAGCCCAAUUUGAAGUAAGUCCAGUCCAAGCCAGUCCUAGUCUUUAUCAAAACAAACGGGACUGCGGCACUGAAAGACUGAAAGUGGAAGAGGGGAACUGGAAAAUCCCAUCCGUAAAGGAAAAACCUAGGCUAGGUAAGAAGAUGAAAUUUGAUUUUAUAUUAUUGGGUUAUUAGAUGAAAUUCUAUCAACUUAUUUUCUUAAUUUCAUGAAUGGAGUUUGGGUUUUUGUUAAUUUGCUAUCACUAGGGUUUCUUGGUUUGUAAAUUGUAAUUUUGUGUAAUUAAAAAGAUGAAUGUUUUCGGUUUAA